rnacentral:rRNA from 1 species
GACGUAGGGGGCGAGCGUUGUCCGGAUUCACUGGGCGUAAAGGGCGCGCAGGCGGUCGCGUGGGCCAUCGCGUGAAAGCCCCCGGCUCAACCGGGCGGUGGCGGGUGGGACCGCGCGGCUGGAGGGUGGUAGGGGCCGGUGGAAUUCCCGGUGUAGUGGUGAAAUGCGUAGAUACCGGGAGGAACACCCGCAGCGAAGGCGGCCGGCUGGGCCAACCCUGACGCUGAGGCGCGAAGGCUCGGGGAGCGAACGGG